UGCUUGUAUCAAUAUGGAAUAGCUUAUCGAGGGGUGUGAACAACUGUGGUAUGAACAACUGUGCUUUUAUGAUCGCUUGUGUAUGGCUCAAUAUUUAAAUUUAAAGGAAGCUACGAUAAAAAGUAAAUCUUGUUUCGUAUUCAAACUUUCUUUUCAGCUUGGCAUGGAGGAGGUACGACAAGCAGUGCAUCCAUAUCAGUGCAUCUAUAUAUCAUCCAUAUAUCAUAGAAGCGACUGUAAAUGAUUUGGAUGAUGGAUUAAAAAUUAAUAUCAACAUAAGCUACGAUAGCUUAGACAAUUUCCAUGUUCCAUGAAGAGUACAGCAUUUGAAGAGUACUUUGACUGGCCGGCUGGCCGGCUUGCUUGGACAAUAAGCUUGGACAAUAAGCUGAUAACUAGGCCACAUUUGAUUUUCAUUAGAUCCACUGUCCAACUGUCCAACUGUCCAACUGUGCAAAAAAACUUAGCCGACAAAUUUGCAUUGCUAAGCGUAAAGGCACACAAAAAAAUGGCUGUAACCUCUAAGUCCCAGACCAGGCUGGUCACCCGCUUCGCAUGAGAUCAUGAGAUCAUGACGUUAUAGAAGAGGUAAGAUCAUGUGGUAAGAUCAUGUGUCAGGUCACCGCUAUGGGAUCAGCAAUAUUCAUGGUAAAGGUAUCACAGCUCUAUGCAGCUCUACAAUAUUAAUGAAUGCUUUGGCUGAUAUUAAUUUACCACUAUGGCUGAUAGAUAGAUACCCACUAGUAAUAGAUACCCACUAGUACUAAGUGAGGAUCAAAUGAGGAUCAAAAAAAGACCUUAAUAAGAUUUUAUGAGGCAAAACCUGUGCAUCAUUAAUUUUCAUCUUCAGGCACAGAAGGUCGUUGGUUUAAUACCAUAAAUGGCAUAAUUAAUGUCAUGGGGUGAAUGGGGUGAAUGCUCAUGGGGUGAAUGCUCUAUGCAUUCAUGGACCCAUGCGUUGAGCUUCAUCGCACAGCAGCAAAUGGAUAUAACUUUGUGAUUUGUGACUAUAAAGCUAAACGGUACAAUCAGAACAAUCAGAAAACAAAAAUCGUCUACAAGUUUACAAGUUUCAAAUUGCCUAUUAUUUUCCAACUACUGUCUCAUGCUAGUUCGCCACACACACUAAUCACCUUACCCCUGCUGCAGCACACACGGGGGUUGUUUAUACAGUACAGAUGCUCUUGCCCUGCCUACAACCAAGGAGAAAUACAAAAUACACUGUAAAGAACGAAUCGGAGAAUAUUCAAAUAUUCAAAAAGCAAAGAAGUGACGUGGCCAAAGAUUCAGAAAGUAAUGAGACAGAUGAAUUCUGAGGCACAAUCACUAAGUGAUGCGGCGGGAGUUGAGACAGUAACGCUACAUUUUCAUAAAGGGGAGGGGAGGUGUUUCCUGGAGGAAGUGAAAGAGGCGGAAGUGAAAGAGGCGUAAAGAGCAUCCAGUAGUGGAACUCUCGUUUACAUUACAUCUUACUUUUAUGAAAUACGGAGUGUGCACACAGCACAUAACUACCAACAACCCGAACUCAAGUAUAUAUAUAUAUAUAUAUAUAGCUAAUAGUCACCGUCUGUACUCGAUCAUGGUAAAAAUGUAGAUACGUAUUCUUUUGCUAUUGUUGAUUGGUCAUAAUUAAGCAUAAUUAUAAUUGCUGACCUAUUAUAUCUAGCUCAGGUUAGUCUACACAACAAGACCGGUAACCAUGGUAAUGGUGUUAUCCAUUUUACGUAUCUAAUUUACGUAUCUAAUGUGAAUCCCGAUAAAAAAGGUACACACUGAAACCAAUGAAACCAAUGAAACCAUUACACAAUGACAAUGAAUAGAGACUGCACGAAACGACCUUAACCAACCUGAGUAGGCUAUAGCUGCAUAUGACUUUACAAUUAAAACUUAAAACUGGCCA